rnacentral:rRNA from 1 species
AUUGAACGCUGGCGGCAGGCCUAACACAUGCAAGUCGAACGAGUGGCGCACGGGUGUGUAAUGUCUGGAAAACUGCCUGCUGGAGGGGGAUAACUACUGGAAACGGUCGCUAAUACCGCAUACCAUCAGAUGUGCCCAGAUGGUUUUAGCUUGUUGGUGGGGUAACGGCUCACCAAGGCCACGAUCCCUAGCUGGUCUGAGAGGAUGACCAGCCACACUGGAACUGAGACACGGUCCAGACUCCUACGGGAGGCAGCAGUGGGGAAUAUUGCACAAUGGGAGCAAGCCUGAUGCAGCCAUGCCGCGUGUAUGAAGAAGGCCUUCGGGUUGUAAAGUACUUUCAGCGGGGAGGCGUUACCCGCAGAAGAAGCACCGGCUAACUCCGUGCCAGCAGCCGCGGUAAUUC